rnacentral:lncRNA from 1 species
GGUCCGCCUGUAAUAAAGCGCUGCAUAAGAUACAGCGGAAGUUUAAUUUUUUAUUCUAAAUUUAUUGGCCGUUAGAUUACUUUAUAAGCAAUCCAACGGCUUCGUAAUUUUAGGCAUAAAAUAGGUCACCGAAACAGAUGGUGGAACACUGGAAUCGGCAAAUAUCCUGGUAAUUAUCACUUUGCUCCCUCAUCUUUUAACUAAAUAUUAAAGACUUCACUUAAUUUAGACGACUAUCAAAGACCCCCUAACAUAAUACUGCUGUACGGCCAAGGCGGAUGUACGGUACAGCAGUUUUUAUUUAAUAUUAUUUUCCUUGCUUUAUCAGGGUUUAUCUCUCCCCCCCCCCAACAAAAAAAAGUAGGAGAUAAAUUUUGUAUCCUGUAUUAGCUACAAUGUAUUAUUCAUGGCCAUAAAAGACAUAUUAUUUCUAAAGUUGUGAUUAUGAUACUUUUGGACACUAUAUCUUAUAACUUGGGCAUUUUAGAUAUUUAAGUUUUAAUAAUUUUGUUAACUAUCAUAUCACCUUACAGUGCCCAGACUAGGGCAUUGUACUAUAGUGGUUGAUUAGGCCUAUUUCUCGUCAACAUAUUUCUUUUAUGAGCAUAUGAAAUUUUGAAAAGAUGAUAGCCACCCAUGUUUGCUGUAAAACAAAAAGAGUAGUUUUAUUUAUCUUUUUUAACCUUUUAACUAAAGGCAAUCCCUAAGUUACAUUUCAUUAUUUGCUAAAAACUUAUGGUUUACAGAUUAUAAUGAAAAAUGAGAAGUUAUAACGGUCAAUCGAUGAAUUAAUAUCUUUUUUUAGUUUUCAAAGACCUUAUACUCCUUGUCUAAUCUAUUAUUGAUAUGCAACCUAUGACUAAAACUUAACUUUUUAUAAAUUCUUAUUUAAUAACUACCUCUCGCUCUAUUUGUAUUUUACUUACGAAAAAUUCAGUUAAGAAGAGAAUUCUCAAUAAUUUUUUAUCUGUCAGUUUCAAGUAAAAGUUUUUGAUAAUUUUAUAAAGUUUCUUACCAAAUAUUAAGAAGCCGUAUGAUCAGUUUUAAAUUCGAGUUAAGAAAUUAACUUAUUCUAGUAUGAAGUUAUUUUUUAUGUUACUUAAUAAAAAAAAGUAUUCAAAGAAGUUAACAUUUAUGCUGUGUUUACUUGCUGGAGUGGGAGUGAGGAGUGUGGAUUCCUCCCACUCCAGCAUUUACUUCCUCUAAUUAGGAAGGGAGUGGGAAUCCCACUCCGUGGGCCCCACCCAUUUUUGGAGUGGGGAGUGGGAGUGGGACUCCGAUUGGGGGAGGUGGGAGUGGGAAUCCACUCCCACCUCUCCCUUUUUUACCCUUUUAUUUUUUUAAUUUAAUAUUUUAUAAUUAAUAAAAUAAAAUAAAAUAUUAUUUUACAUAAUUGUGCUUAGAUUUUUUUAAAAACAAUUGUGCAACAUAUAAUUUUCAUCAUUAUAUUUAGUUUUAAAAAUUAUUUCUUUAAUCUCUCAUCAAUCUUUAGCUUAAGAUUGACAAAGUAACAUUGACUUAAAUCCAGUUCUAUUAAGUCGCCAUUAAUUUAUCUUUACCAAGUACAUUAAACACAAUAAAAGUAACUCAAAUUAAACAAUAAUUUUAUAAACACAUUAGAAAAUCAUUGCAAUCAAGGAAAAAGAAAAUAUAUUAAAUAUUAAAAUUAAUUUUCUCUAAUAGAAAAAUUCAAUGCUAUAAUUUUUAAGAGAAAUUAUCUCUACACCAUCUUUCUUUUGGAGAACAAAUUAAAAAAAAAAAAAGUUCAUUUACAGCCAAUGCUAAUUCUUGUUCACUACUCAACUAUGCACCAUUAGAGAAAAAAAGAUAAAAUAAUCCCAAGGGAUUAUAGAAAACUAAUUUUAUUAUUUCUAUUUCCCCUUUGAUCUGGAGACAGCCAGCUGAAGCUUGGGCUGCUCACCAGCCUUACUUGGAUUCAACCACUUGAGAGGAUGCCAAUAGCAGUUUCUGCGUCAAAUGCUUUGCAAUAUUUUCCCUUGCCAAUCAUUCUAUAUUGGAAGCAUAAAACAUUAAAAAAAAAGACUUAUAAAAAAAUGAAAUGACAAUUCAAAAUGUUAUAUAAUUUAAGUUAAUUACAAAACUUUAACAAGACAAGAAAAAAAUUAAGAACAUUAAUCGUGAAAAAAAUUAAUAAUGAUUAAAAAAUAUAUAUCUUAAUGUAUGAAGCGACAAACGAAACCUUAGGCCUAAAGGAUAUAUUUUUUGAUGAAAUUUUAAAAAAUAAAUUUUAUAUUUUCUUUUUAGGUUUCUGAACAAUAAAUAAAGUUAUUUUAAAAAAAAAGUAUCAAGAAUAAUAAUAUAAAAUAUGAAAAUUUAAAUAAUAUACAAAAAUUAUUAGAAUUAAAAAUUGUGAAAAUGGGUAAAUAUGUUUUCAUUUAGGCAGUAGUUUUCCUGCCUAGAUGAAGCAAAAUUCUUUUAGUGUUAUAUCAAAAUAAAAAAAAUUAAUUGAAUACUAUUUAGAGUAAUAUAUUAUAUAAUUUUUUUAAAUUUACAAUUUAUAUGUACAUUAUAAACUAUAAUUUAAUGGUAUUUGAUAAUCUGUAUACAUGCACUUUAUGGUAAAGUCCAACGAUCCACCGAAUAUUAACUCAAAAACCUACUCCCAUAAAUAUACAAAGAGAUACAUACUUUAUUUUAAAUAACAAUGUAAUAUUAUAGUUACAUUAUUAAUUAUUUAGCUUUUAUAGUAUAAUGUCGACAAUAAUUUACAAUGAUAAUUAGCAACAUUUCUCAAUAAAUUAUUAAAAAGUUUAUUACGAUAAAAUGUUGUUAUAUUUAGAACAUACGCUCAUUUUGAUUAAAAGAAAAGUGAUAUUGAUAAAAUUAUCAUAUAUGUGUUCAAUUUACCAAUAAUAAUAGUAAGGCUAACAAAGAUACUUAUUAACAACAUUAGUAAUGGAUAUUAAGAGUUAUAGUAUCAUUAAUCAUAAUACUAGUAAUAAAACAAUAUCAUUAAAUAUUAACAUUACAUGUAAUCAUGUAUAAGCUCCUAUAACAAUUCAUAGAAUUUUUUGUGACUUCUGCUGUACCGUACAUCCGCCUUGGCCGUACAGCAGAUCUAAGCACAAUUAUGUAAAAUAAUAAAAUGAGCAUUAAUAUGUAAAAGAUCAAAAGUUUAAAGUAUACAUACGAUUAAAUUCAAGAAAUACCAUGAAGUAACAAAGACCGUUGGGGGCCGGGGGGGAGGGGAGUGGACUUAUACAAAUUCAUAGUGUUGAAAAAAAUUGAGGGUUGCAACAAUGAUUUUUCAAAAUUAUAUUGUAAGUUGAUAUUUAUUAAAAAAAAGCGGGGUCAAACGCAAUUUACCUCAAUAUUUUAAUGUUUUACUAUAAUAAAAUGUGACUCGUAACAACCACCUAAAAUGUUGGCAUACAGUAAAAACAUUUGGAAUAUAAAACCAAAAAAAUGGUAGAAGUAACUAUUAAAGAGCUGAACCCAUAAAUUGGAACGACUUACUGAUGAUUUAGUAAAUUUCAAUGGGAACUAGAGACAUGAAAAAUAAACUUGAAACACACACCUACAUGUUGGAAUUCAAUAAAAAGUCUUGGUAUAUAGAACCAAAAAAUAGUGGGAAAAAAGUGGGAGAGUUAACCUGAAAGUUGGAAUUACGCAACGAUAGUUUGAUAAAUUCCAAUGGGAAAUAGGGACUAAGAAUUGAAUUUGAAACUUUCACCCAAAAUGUUGGAAUUCAUUAAAAAAAACCUGGAAUAUAUAACUAAAAGGUACUGGAAAUAAAAGUUGAAGAACUUAAUACAAAAGUUGGAAUAACUUAUUAAGAAUUUGAUAAAUUCUAAUGACAAGUUGGAAUCUAAAAAAUAAACUUGAAACUUCUAUUCAAAAUAUUGGAAUUCAUUAAAAAAAGUAGAAAUAUAGAACCAAAAAGUGGUGGGAACAAGAGUUGAAGAACAUAACGCAAAAUUGGAAACGACUCACCCACAAUUUGAUAAAUUCCAACUAUAAGUAGGGAUCCAAAAAGUGAAAUUGAAACAUACACCUGAAAUUUUAAAAUUCAAUAAAAAAAGUAGAAAUAUAAAACAAAAAACUAGUAGGAAAAAGAGUUGAUGAAUUUAACCGAAAAGUACGAACAAUUUACCAGGAAUUUGAUAAAUUUCAACAGGAAGUAGGGAUAUAAGAAGUGAACUUGAAACAUCCACCCAAAAUAUUGAAAUUUAAUAAAAAGAGCAGGAAUAAAUAACCAAAAAGUAGUGGGAAUAUGAAUUGAAGAGCCUAACCCAAAACUUGGAAUAACUUAGCAAGAAAUCGAUAUAUUUUAAAGAGAAGUAGGGAUCUAAAAAUGAACUUAAAAUAUCCAUCCAAAAUAUUGAAAUUCCAUAAAAAGAGUAGAAACAUAAAAGGAAAAACUGGUGGUAAUAACAGUUGAUAACUUUAACCUAAAAGUCGGAAUAACCUAACAAAGAAAUUGAUAAAUUUUAACAGGAAAUGGGGAUCUAAAAAGUGAACUUGAAACUCUCACCCAAAAUAUUAGAAUUCAAUAAAAGGAAUAGGAAUAUAGAAUCAAAAAGUAGUGGCAACAAGAGUUGAUGAACUCAACCCAAAAAUUGGAAUAAUGGACUAAGAAUUUGAUAAAUUCCAAUGCGAAGUAGGGCUCUAAAAGUAAACUAGAAAUAUCUACCGAAAAUGUUGAAACUCUAUAAAAAUAGUUGGAAUUUAGGACUUAAAAGUGGUGGGAAAAUGAGUUGGAAUAACUUACCAGAAAUUAGAUAAAGGCUAAUGGAAUGUAGGAAUGUUGAAAGUAAACUUAAAAUAUCCACGUAAAAAGUUGGAAUUUAAUGAAAAAAGUGAAAAUAUAGAACCAAAAACUGGUGGAAAAAUAAGUUGAAAUAACUUACCAAAAUUUAGAUAAAUCGUAACAAAAAAAUAGGAAUUUGAAAAGUAAACUCGAAACAUGCACUAUAAAUAUUGAAAUGUGACAAAAUAAGUGGGAAUAUAGUUAUUUUGUGACUUGUUUAUAAUACUUGUAUAGUUUCUUAUACUAUUUAUAAAUUUAAAAUUAUUAUAUUCUUUUGCUUCAUUUAAUUACAAUUUUAUCUUUUUUUUCCUAUUUUUUUCAUAUUUUUUUCGCAUUAAAAACAAAUUAAAAUGUAAUAUUUAUUAUGUUAACCGGUUAAAAACCGGUUGUACUGGUUGCGUGCAUGCGCUGUAUGAGAUACAGCGCUGCACUGUAGGUUGACUCUAGAAGAAAUUCAAAGAAAUAAGACAAGGAAAAAGAGUGUAAGAGAAAUAGCUAGAUGUAGACAUGCUAUUAUUAUUCUUUGCUCAGAAAUGAAUGAGCUUGUUCAUAGGUUUAUCCUCUUUUUGUACAAAAGCAGAAGUGAACAAAAUGAACAAAAUCAGUUAACUGAAGUCGGAUGUGACACCAACUUCGGCUUGUAUCAUAAAAGAUUGGAAUUUUUUUUGUUACCCUUUUGGCCCCCCCUCCAAAGAUGUUGUGCCUUUCAACAUCAUUCAUCAAAUCUCGCAAAGACGCCUACAUAGUUGAAGAAACGGCACGCCCGAGUGAUUUUCAAGAGUUCAAUUAAAAUGAAAACAACAGUUGCCUGACUUAGAACAAUUAAAUAUUAACAUAUACCAAACUAAAGUCUAUAUCAUCACCAGAUUUUAACUUGUCUUGACCGUCUAUUCCAAAGGAAAUAACCAGAAAUAAGAGCUAGAUGGGUACAAUUAUAUAAUCGACAAGUACUGUCAAGUAAUGAUUUUCAUAAACAAAACUGCCAAAACAAUGUGUUCCACUAUAACAGAAGAACAAUAAGACCCACAAUGCCAACAGGUAACUACCCCUAGUCCACGGCAAUACAGCUAAAAUGUCAUGUUUAACAAUACCAGAGCCAAAAGUCCACCACUUAUUUUGCACUGUUAUAUAUAUGAACAAGAAGAAUAACAUGUUCAUAUAUCUGCCAAACAACAUGAGGUUUUUACCGCACUGGCUGCUGGUUAUAAUGGUUCUUCUCUUUUUUCUUAGCUGCAGCAAGCCUUGCAUUUCUUGCAGCAGCCUCUUGGGCCGCUGCUUUUGCAGCAGCAUCCAUCUCUUUACUAGACUUCUUCUUCUUAGAAGAAGCCAACUUCUUUAACCGUCCUUUCACAUCAACAGCAGAUGCAUCAUCAUCUGCGUGUUCAGAUCCACCAGCAUUAUCUGGAUCAUUAGUGGCAUCCGAAUUAUUAGGCUGCUCAUGCGAUUCCUUCACAUCUUUGGAAGAUUUAUCCUUCUUUUUCUUCUUCUUAGCACUUUUAGAUUCACCAGGUGCAUUUUCCUUCCUUUCUUCCUCUCCAUUUAGCUCUGCAUCUUUCUUGUCUUGUGCAACAUCUGCACAUUAAAAUAAUUCAUUUUUAGAAAAUGAAUAGAAAAGCAAGUUGGUCCAUAAAUCAUUAGUUAGUGCUUGUAGCAUGCAUGAGUGUUAAAGCACAUGCAUGUGUGCGUAUCAGCAUUAAAGAGAGAGACGAGUGAGAGAGGUGAGAAUUCAGCUUCCCCCCACCACACCGGGGGGAUUUCCCGACUCAAGAGUUGAGAGCGUGAAUGAUCAAAAAGGAGAGAAAAAGUAUGUCAGAGAUUUUUCAAUAAAGAAUGUUAAAGAACACAUAUUUUAACAAAUGACUGAGGGAUAUUAAUGCAUAUUUUAACAAAUGACUUAAGGAAAUUUACUGCAAGCAAACAACGUAAACCACUUUUCCAUGUGCUACAGACAUAAUUCUUGACUUGAGAAUUAGAAACCUUCCAAAAAAAAAAAAAAAGUAGCAUUCAAACAGUCUAUUUACCAUGUGAUUCAUUUUGGCUAUUACUUCCCUCUUUUGGGGCAACCCCAAAAUCAGCUAGAAGAGCCUCAAGCUCUGCCAGUUCUUUCUUCUUCCUCUCCUUCUUCGAGAGUUGCCUUUCUGACUCCUUAGGUACUACAGAAACUUCAGGAGGCUUCACCACAGGCUCAUGGUGCACUGGGACCUCAGGUUCACGAUCAUGCUCUUCCUCUACCUCGUCAUCCCCUUCAUCUAGGAUAUCUUCUUCACUUUCACUCUCCUGUAAUCCCAAAUAGCCAAUGGUCAAGCCACCACGUAGGACUUACAUGUCAAAACGUAUAAAACUACUAUUUAAGGCACUCAAAUUGCUAUAACACACUACAACAUACAAAGUUGUGUGAUCACCGAUCAUAAAUCUGUGAAAAAUAUUAGCAUAAAAGUGAUAGCGCAGUGCAAACAUAGGGAGAACAUUCAAUCACACAAUUGCCAUCUUCUCCCACAAUGACCAAACACUUCUAACAUCCAGGUUUCAACCUGACCAACGAAAAAACCAAAUAUAUUUGAAAUAUCCAGCACUAUAGUACAACAGUCUCAUGAAAAGAUACUGAAGAAGGAAAUAUAAAUGAAUGAUUCCAAAUUCAGCAAGUCCAAGGUUAGCUACAUAGACGCGUUGCUUGCACCCCGCCACACAGUAAGUACCAAGUUAAUUGACAUAAUAUAAAUGGCACCGUCUAGGAUAGAAAUGGCUUGCAGAGACCAAAUGAACUUGUUUAUGUAAAGAAGAGAAAGUAAAAAAACAAAAAGAAAUGGGAUCAUUCAUAACUACCUAAGAAAUAACUGAAAAGUGAUUAUCCAACAGGGUAUUUAAAAAACUUCAAAUGAUUUUCACUAAACUUCUAGAAGUUGAAAAUAUCAAAGAAGUAUAUUGAAUAAGCAUAAUUAAACUAAUAUGCAUAAAAAUAAAUCAAAUAGGCUAAGAGGAUAUGUACUAAUGUUAUAAUAGAACUGACCCUCAACAAACAAUAAUAAUAAUAAUAAUAAUAACAAUAAUAAUAAUUACCAUCCUAAACUAAUUUCACCCAGUGUGAAUAAGUCAUCGAAAUAUGUACAUCAUCAAAACAAGAAUCGCCGUCAAAAUCAACCACAAAUUAGACGUGUCACAGCCCCCAACCCUCAAAAUCAAAAUAUAAUAAAAGGAGUUGUUUUCACUGUUUCUCUUAAGAUUUUAUCCAAACUUAGUAAUCUAUAGAUACAUAUAAAUACACGAGAAAUUUAAACGACGUAGUAUCUCACCUCGACGUUGGCGGGCUUCUCCUCCUCCUCUUGGCUCGGCGCCGGCGCGUCAGACGAUCCCCAUGCGACCGGGGGAGGAGCCGUGGUGGCGUAGUAAUCAUCAUCGUCAUCGUCAUCGACGUCAGCCCACGACUUAACUUUCAACGGCGAAGGGGCCCAGAACACCUUUGGCUCCUCGGUCUGUUUGUUCUGCUGCUGCGAUUUGGAGGAACCUUUGCUUUUCGAUGACCCUUUCUCUUUAUCGGACUUCUUCUUCUUCCUUAGAGUCUCCAAAGCAGCAAACACGUUCGUGUUGUUGAUCACCAGCGAUCCAUCGUCUCUCCUUCCACCACCGACCAUUUUGUUCUCCCUAUAAAUUUCGAUCUAGGGGUGUAAAUGAUCAAAGAGUCCAGAAUUGGGGGAAAAUAUACUAAUUGUUAAAAUAUAAAGGAUUGAAUUGUAAUUUGCCGCAAAAAUUUAUUGAUUUUAUUCAAAUCUGGAUGUCGACAAAUUACGAUUGAAGAAAAUAACUAACAAACAAGCCGAAAACUAAAUUUGUACGAAAUGCGAUGAAAGGGGUCGCGAUUGUAGAUAAUAACUCCUAAAUGAUUGUCCUGAAAGGCAAGCGAGAUUGAUUGUAGAGAGCGAGAGCGAGAGAGAGAGAGAGAGAGAGAGGACGUAAAGAGAGUUCUAGAGAGAGAAAAUUAGGGUUUGAAACGACAGAGGAGAGCUUCACGACACGGCCGCUAUGCAGAUGCAGCGGUUGCUGUUGUGAUGAAUGUACUAGUAGGGCUUUCGUAUUGAGAGAUAACGUAAUGGGAGGAAGGAACACGAAAGGUUGAUAUUUAUAUGGUGAACGUGGUUUGUAACUAAACAGUCCAUUUAUUUUGUUAGUAUUGCAGAUUAGGUGCCGAUAGUUUUCCAAAAUUACAUUGCAGGGGCCAGUGUUACAGAAUGAAAUUAGGAGGAAACGUUGUCGUUUUGAGUGUCGAGUUCACGUAAUCAAACAAAAUCGCCAGGGGGAUUUUUUAUAUAUAUUAUUAUUAUUUUUAUUUUUUUUUUAACAGAAGGAAAUCAAACGUAAUAGUGGUACGACACCUGGUUGGUCAACAUUUGAACACCUCUUUAGGACUCGGAAACAUAACAUUUCACCGAUGUCGAUUUCUGAGUCAACCUACAGUGCAGCGCUGUAUCUCAUACAGCGCAUGCACGCAACCAGUACAACCGGUUUUUAACCGGUUAACAUAAUAAAUAUUACAUUUUAAUUUGUUUUUAAUGCGAAAAAAAUAUGAAAAAAAUAGGAAAAAAAAGAUAAAAUUGUAAUUAAAUGAAGCAAAAGAAUAUAAUAAUUUUAAAUUUAUAAAUAGUAUAAGAAACUAUACAAGUAUUAUAAACAAGUCACAAAAUAACUAUAUUCCCACUUAUUUUGUCACAUUUCAAUAUUUAUAGUGCAUGUUUCGAGUUUACUUUUCAAAUUCCUAUUUUUUUGUUACGAUUUAUCUAAAUUUUGGUAAGUUAUUUCAACUUAUUUUUCCACCAGUUUUUGGUUCUAUAUUUUCACUUUUUUCAUUAAAUUCCAACUUUUUACGUGGAUAUUUUAAGUUUACUUUCAACAUUCCUACAUUCCAUUAGCCUUUAUCUAAUUUCUGGUAAGUUAUUCCAACUCAUUUUCCCACCACUUUUAAGUCCUAAAUUCCAACUAUUUUUAUAGAGUUUCAACAUUUUCGGUAGAUAUUUCUAGUUUACUUUUAGAGCCCUACUUCGCAUUGGAAUUUAUCAAAUUCUUAGUCCAUUAUUCCAAUUUUUGGGUUGAGUUCAUCAACUCUUGUUGCCACUACUUUUUGAUUCUAUAUUCCUAUUCCUUUUAUUGAAUUCUAAUAUUUUGGGUGAGAGUUUCAAGUUCACUUUUUAGAUCCCCAUUUCCUGUUAAAAUUUAUCAAUUUCUUUGUUAGGUUAUUCCGACUUUUAGGUUAAAGUUAUCAACUGUUAUUACCACCAGUUUUUCCUUUUAUGUUUCUACUCUUUUUAUGGAAUUUCAAUAUUUUGGAUGGAUAUUUUAAGUUCAUUUUUAGAUCCCUACUUCUCUUUAAAAUAUAUCGAUUUCUUGCUAAGUUAUUCCAAGUUUUGGGUUAGGCUCUUCAAUUCAUAUUCCCACUACUUUUUGGUUAUUUAUUCCUGCUCUUUUUAUUAAAUUUCAAUAUUUUGGGUGGAUGUUUCAAGUUCACUUCUUAUAUCCCUACUUCCUGUUGAAAUUUAUCAAAUUCCUGGUAAAUUGUUCGUACUUUUCGGUUAAAUUCAUCAACUCUUUUUCCUACUAGUUUUUUGUUUUAUAUUUCUACUUUUUUUAUUGAAUUUUAAAAUUUCAGGUGUAUGUUUCAAUUUCACUUUUUGGAUCCCUACUUAUAGUUGGAAUUUAUCAAAUUGUGGGUGAGUCGUUUCCAAUUUUGCGUUAUGUUCUUCAACUCUUGUUCCCACCACUUUUUGGUUCUAUAUUUCUACUUUUUUUAAUGAAUUCCAAUAUUUUGAAUAGAAGUUUCAAGUUUAUUUUUUAGAUUCCAACUUGUCAUUAGAAUUUAUCAAAUUCUUAAUAAGUCAUUCCAACUUUUAUGUUAAGUUCUUCAACUUUUAUUUCCAGUACCUUUUAGUUAUAUAUUCCAGGUUUUUUUUAAUGAAUUCCAACAUUUUGGGUGAAAGUUUCAAAUUCAAUUCUUAGUCCCUAUUUCCCAUUGGAAUUUAUCAAACUAUCGUUGCGUAAUUCCAACUUUCAGGUUAACUCUCCCACUUUUUUCCCACUAUUUUUUGGUUCUAUAUACCAAGACUUUUUAUUGAAUUCCAACAUGUAGGUGUGUGUUUCAAGUUUAUUUUUCAUGUCUCUAGUUCCCAUUGAAAUUUACUAAAUCAUCAGUAAGUCGUUCCAAUUUAUGGGUUCAGCUCUUUAAUAGUUACUUCUACCAUUUUUUUGGUUUUAUAUUCCAAAUGUUUUUACUGUAUGCCAACAUUUUAGGUGGUUGUUACGAGUCACAUUUUAUUAUAGUAAAACAUUAAAAUAUUGAGGUAAAUUGCGUUUGACCCCGCUUUUUUUUAAUAAAUAUCAACUUACAAUAUAAUUUUGAAAAAUCAUUGUUGCAACCCUCAAUUUUUUUCAACACUAUGAAUUUGUAUAAGUCCACUCCCCUCCCCCCCGGCCCCCAACGGUCUUUGUUACUUCAUGGUAUUUCUUGAAUUUAAUCGUAUGUAUACUUUAAACUUUUGAUCUUUUACAUAUUAAUGCUCAUUUUAUUAUUUUACAUAAUUGUGCUUAGAUCUGCUGUACGGCCAAGGCGGAUGUACGGUACAGCAGAAGUCACAAAAAAUUCUAUGAAUUGUUAUAGGAGCUUAUACAUGAUUACAUGUAAUGUUAAUAUUUAAUGAUAUUGUUUUAUUACUAGUAUUAUGAUUAAUGAUACUAUAACUCUUAAUAUCCAUUACUAAUGUUGUUAAUAAGUAUCUUUGUUAGCCUUACUAUUAUUAUUGGUAAAUUGAACACAUAUAUGAUAAUUUUAUCAAUAUCACUUUUCUUUUAAUCAAAAUGAGCGUAUGUUCUAAAUAUAACAACAUUUUAUCGUAAUAAACUUUUUAAUAAUUUAUUGAGAAAUGUUGCUAAUUAUCAUUGUAAAUUAUUGUCGACAUUAUACUAUAAAAGCUAAAUAAUUAAUAAUGUAACUAUAAUAUUACAUUGUUAUUUAAAAUAAAGUAUGUAUCUCUUUGUAUAUUUAUGGGAGUAGGUUUUUGAGUUAAUAUUCGGUGGAUCGUUGGACUUUACCAUAAAGUGCAUGUAUACAGAUUAUCAAAUACCAUUAAAUUAUAGUUUAUAAUGUACAUAUAAAUUGUAAAUUUAAAAAAAUUAUAUAAUAUAUUACUCUAAAUAGUAUUCAAUUAAUUUUUUUUAUUUUGAUAUAACACUAAAAGAAUUUUGCUUCAUCUAGGCAGGAAAACUACUGCCUAAAUGAAAACAUAUUUACCCAUUUUCACAAUUUUUAAUUCUAAUAAUUUUUGUAUAUUAUUUAAAUUUUCAUAUUUUAUAUUAUUAUUCUUGAUACUUUUUUUUUAAAAUAACUUUAUUUAUUGUUCAGAAACCUAAAAAGAAAAUAUAAAAUUUAUUUUUUAAAAUUUCAUCAAAAAAUAUAUCCUUUAGGCCUAAGGUUUCGUUUGUCGCUUCAUACAUUAAGAUAUAUAUUUUUUAAUCAUUAUUAAUUUUUUUCACGAUUAAUGUUCUUAAUUUUUUUCUUGUCUUGUUAAAGUUUUGUAAUUAACUUAAAUUAUAUAACAUUUUGAAUUGUCAUUUCAUUUUUUUAUAAGUCUUUUUUUUUAAUGUUUUAUGCUUCCAAUAUAGAAUGAUUGGCAAGGGAAAAUAUUGCAAAGCAUUUGACGCAGAAACUGCUAUUGGCAUCCUCUCAAGUGGUUGAAUCCAAGUAAGGCUGGUGAGCAGCCCAAGCUUCAGCUGGCUGUCUCCAGAUCAAAGGGGAAAUAGAAAUAAUAAAAUUAGUUUUCUAUAAUCCCUUGGGAUUAUUUUAUCUUUUUUUCUCUAAUGGUGCAUAGUUGAGUAGUGAACAAGAAUU